rnacentral:rRNA from 1 species
UACAAGUUCCGUGGUAACCAGCGGAGGGAUCAUUA